rnacentral:lncRNA from 1 species
UCCCAUCAUAAAAGUUUUGUCCUUUUUGAAAAACAAAGAGUCUCAAAUCAAUUUCCUCAAGGAAGAAAUAACAUUUCUAAGGCUGCAACAACUGCUUCAAGAAUCUUUCUUUCAAUCUAAGGUCAAAGCCUCAGAAAUAAAGAUUGAAAGAGAACUUUGUGCUAAUUUACCCACAACAUUCUGGAAUCAUAAAAACACAUAGUCAGGCUUCUUUAAAAACCUGAAUUUGAUGAAAAAACUAUCCCUACCAAAGCCCGACCAUUUCAAAUGAAUCAUGAACUAACAAUCCAUUGCCAGAUGAAAGUCAAUGAUCUUCUUCAAAAACAGAUCAUCUCGCCAUGUAAAUCACCUUGGAGUUGUGCUAUUUUUUAUGUUAAUAAAAGUUUUGAAAUUGAACAAGGAGUCCUUCGUUUGGUCAUCAACUAUAGACCUCUAAAUACCGCCCUUCGAUGGAUUAGGUAUCCUAUUGAAAAAAAAUAUUUUCUCCAAUGACUUUAUGCUGCUACAAUCUUCUCAAAAUUUGAUCUAAAAUCAGAAUUUUGGCAAAUCCAAAUUGAUUGAAGAGAUCGAUAUAAAACCGCUUUUAUAGUACCAUUCAGGAAAUAUUUAUGGAACGUAAUGCCCUUUGGCUUAAAAAAUGCCCCUUUAGAAGUUCAUAAAAUAAUGAAUGCUAUUUUUAAUCCUUCUUAAAAAUUCACAAUAGUUUAUAUUGAUGAUUUCUUAGUAUUUUCCACUAGCAUUGACCAAUAUUUUAAACAUUUAAGAGUUUUCUUCAAUGUCAUCACGAAAAAUGGCUUACUUCUGUCCAAAACUAAUUAUAGUCUUUUCCAUGUCGAUAUUAGAUUUCUCGGGCACAAUAUCUAUCAGGGUAAUAUUACCUCGAUUCAACAGUCCAUACAAUUUGUUGAUAAAUUUCUUGAUCAGCUCCUUGAUAAAACUCAACUCCAAAGGUUUUUAGGACGUGUCAAUUAUAUAGCAGAUUAUAUCCCCAGACUUAACAAUUUGCUAAAACCACUCCAUGACAUAUUGAAAAAGUCUCCUCCUCCUUGGAAUAACAUCUAUACCAAUGUAGUCAAAGAAAUCAAAUUGAAGGCAAUAGACCUCCCUUGCCUGUCCUUCCUUGAUCCUCCUACAUUCAAAAUAGUUGAAACAGAUGCAUCAAACAUAGGUUAUGGUGGCAUUUUAAAACAAAAGAAAAAUGAUAAAGAUCAUAUAAUUGCAUUUGCAUCCAAGCAUUGGAAUAAAGCCCAACAAAACGAUCCAACUAUCAAAAAAAAAUUUUAGCGGUUAUGUUACGCAUAUCUAAAUUUCAAGUUAAUUUAUUAAACCAAAUUUUUUUACUAAGGAUAGAUUGUAGAGCUGCAAAACCUGUUUUAAAAAAAGAUGUACAAAAUCUAGCCUCUAAGCAUAUAUUUGCUAGGUGGCAAACUAUUUUAUCUAUUUUUAUUUUCAUAUUGAAUAUAUUAAAGAGAGAUCCAAAUCCAUACCGGACUUUAUUACUAGGGAAUUCCUGCAUGGAAGAUAAAAAUGGCUAGAAAAAAGAAAAUACUAUUCCACAAAUUCUGGCUUUUCCAUCCCUAGAAGAGACCACCCAAAAAGUUGUUACCCCACUGCAAAAAACUAUGGUUGAAUCCAAGCAACUUUCAAUAAUAACAAUUGAAGCAGAUCAGCUAAGAUAUAUAACCCCAGAUAAUUAUGCCAUGCAGGGAAUACCUUAAUCUCAUAUGAUGCAAGAAAUUCCAAAUCCAAUAUCAAUUUCUAAUCCAAGGAAAUGGGUUGAUUUACUUAAAGAAGGAGAAGAAGAGGCUCAGUUAGCCCAAAUAGUUUAUGUCCAAUGGACAAAAGAUGAUUUUAAA